rnacentral:rRNA from 1 species
UGGGGAAUUUUCCGCAAUGGGCGAAAGUCUGACGGAGCGACGUCGCGUGAAGGAUGAAGGCCCUCGGGUUGUAAACUUCUUUUAGCACUGAUGAAUGACUGACAGUAGGUGCUGAAUAAGCCUCGGCUAAUUACGUGCCAGCAGCCGCGGUAAUACGUAAGAGGCAAACGUUGUUCGGAUUUACUGGGCGUAAAGGGUGAGUAGGCGGAUUAGUAAGUUUGAGGUGAAAGACCGGGGCUCAACCCCGGGAACGCCUCGGAUACUGCUAGUCUGGAGUGCGGUAGAGGAUAACGGAAUUCCUGGUGUAUGGGUGGAAUCAGUAGAUAUCAGGAAGAACACCGAUGGCGAAGGCAGUUAUCUGGGCCGCAACUGACGCUGAAUCACGAAAGCUAGGGGAGCGAACG